ACGCUCGACACCUACGUGAGGCAGCAGUAGGGAAUCUUCCACAAUGGACGCAAGUCUGAUGGAGCAACGCCGCGUGAGUGAAGAAGGUUUUCGGAUCGUAAAGCUCUGUUGUUGGUGAAGAAGGAUAGAGGUAGUAACUGGCCUUUAUUUGACGGUAAUCAACCAGAAAGUCACGGCUAACUACGUGCCAACAGCCGCGGUAAUCUGAGCGGGCUGGCAAGGC
rnacentral:rRNA from 1 species